CCUGUCUUGUUGAAAGAUUAUCUCUCAACAGUGAGCUUGAACGUGAUUAGCAGGAUGGUGUUGGGAAAAAGAUACUUGGACGAGUCUGAUGCGAACUCAAUUAUCACGCCUGUCGAGUUCAAGAAAAUGCUGGACGAGCUGUUCUUGCUGAACGGUGUCCUUAACAUCGGCGAUUCGAUACCUUGGCUCGAUUUCUUGGAUUUGCAGGGGUAUGUUAAGAGGAUGAAAGUCUUGAGCAAGAAAUUCGACGGGUUUCUGGAGCAUGUCCUGGAUGAGCACAACGCCCGGAGGAAAGACGAAAAGAAUUACGUAAGCCAGGACAUGGUGGACGUCCUUCUGGACCUGGCCAGCGAUCCCAAUCUGGAGGUGAAGCUAGAGAGGCACGGAGUCAAGGCAUUCACUCAGGUAUCUCUCAAUUCCACAAUCUUACUUACUCCCAAUUUGGAUCGCCAAUUUUUACGUUUUGUGUGUCUACUUUCCGUACCUCAAAUCAUUACACUGUAGAUAUAUAUAUAUUUUUUACAAAAAAUAGCAAUUCAAACGGCUUUUAAUUUUUAAUUUUUAUUUUCUGCCUCUCUCUUUUUUGGGCGGGCGGAGGUGUCAGGGAGUGCGCAUAGUCAAUUAUCUUUUGAAUAUACUCAACUGCCUCCGAUAACUAGAAUAGCUUUAUUUAUUUUCUUUAAAAAAAAAGAAAAAGAAAAAAGAAAGUUCCAGUAAACAAAUAUGUAGUCAUCAAAUCAAAUGUUGCUCGACUAGAAUCAGAAUGACGUGAACACUUAUAGUAGUGGCUCUUGAGGCAACCUUCCAUUGACAAGCCCGUGGCCCCAACAAGCCAACCACUGUAUAUAAUUGGCAUACAUACAGAUACAGUGCAAUUGCUAUGCAGUUUCUGCUAAGAACUUUAUUAAUUGUACUGACUCUUUCACAUUAUAAUUAAUGAACUCUAGGACCUACUUGCCGGUGGAACCGAGAGCUCAGCGGUGACAGUAGAAUGGGCCAUCUCAGAGCUACUGAAAAAGCCAGAACUAUUCGGAAAAGCAACCGAGGAGCUCGACCGGGUUAUUGGUCAGAGCCGAUGGGUGACGGAGAAGGACAUCCCAGACCUUCCUUACAUAGAGGCUAUUGUUAAAGAAACAAUGCGUAUGCACCCCGUGGCACCAAUGCUGGUGCCCAGGUGUGCUCGCGAAGAUUGCAAAGUUGCAGGGUACGAUAUCCAGAAGGGGACUCGAGUUCUCGUUAAUGUCUGGACGAUUGGGAGGGACCCUGCAUUGUGGGAGAAACCCGAGGAAUUUUACCCCGACAGAUUCGUUGGAAAGGACAUUGAUGUCAAAGGGCACGACUACGAGCUGUUGCCAUUUGGUUCUGGAAGAAGAAUGUGCCCGGGUUACAGUUUAGGCCUCAAGGUUAUCCAAUCCAAUUUGGCCAACCUUUUACAUGGAUACAAAUGGAAGUUGCCAAAUG
rnacentral:lncRNA from 1 species